rnacentral:rRNA from 1 species
UACGUAGGGGGCAAGCGUUGUUCGGAUUUACUGGGCGUAAAGCGCACGUAGGCGGAUCGUUAAGUCGGGGGUGAAAUCCUGGAGCUCAACUCCAGAACUGCCUUCGAUACUGGCGAUCUUGAGUCCGGAAGAGGUGAGUGGAACUCCUAGUGUAGAGGUGGAAUUCGUAGAUAUCAGGAAGAACACCAGUGGCGAAGGCGGCUCACUGGUCCGGUACUGACGCUGAGGUGCGAAAGCGUGGGGAGCAAACAGG